rnacentral:rRNA from 2 species
GAUGAACGCUGGCGGCGCGCCUAACACAUGCAAGUCGAACGGUUAAAGCACCUUUUAGGUGUGUAUAAAGUGGCGAACGGCGAGUAACACGUGGGCAACCUGCCCUCCUCUUGGGGAUAGCCUCGGGAAACCGAGGAUAAUACCCGAUACUUCAAUGUGGCCGCAUGACGACAUUGAGAAAGCUUUUGCGGAGAAGGAUGGGCCCGCGGCCUGUUAGCUUGUUGGUGGGGUAGAGGCCUACCAAGGCAAUGAUGGGUAGCUGGGUUGAGAGACCGACCAGCCAGAUUGGGACUGAGACACGGCCCAGACUCCUACGGGAGGCAGCAGUGGGGAAUCUUGCACAAUGGGCGAAAGCCUGAUGCAGCGACGCCGCGUGCGGGACGAAGGCCUUCGGGUUGUAAACCGCUUUCAGCAGGGAC